GACGAACGCUGGCGGCGUGCUUAACACAUGCAAGUCGAACGGAAAGGCCCUGCUUUUGUGGGGUGCUCGAGUGGCGAACGGGUGAGUAACACGUGAGUAACCUGCCCUUGACUUUGGGAUAACUUCAGGAAACUGGGGCUAAUACCGGAUAGGGGCUCCUGCUGCAUGGUGGGGGUUGGAAAGUUUCGGCGGUUGGGGAUGGACUCGCGGCUUAUCAGCUUGUUGGUGGGGUAGUGGCUUACCAAGGCUUUGACGGGUAGCCGGCCUGAGAGGGUGACCGGCCACAUUGGGACUGAGAUACGGCCCAGACUCCUACGGGAGGCAGCAGUGGGGAAUAUUGCACAAUGGGCGGAAGCCUGAUGCAGCAACGCCGCGUGCGGGAUGACGGCCUUCGGGCUGUAAACCGCUUUCGCCUGUGACGAAGCGUGAGUGACGGUAAUGGGUAAAGAAGCACCGGCUAACUACGUG
rnacentral:rRNA from 1 species